GAUGAAGAACGCAGCGAAAUGCGAUAAGUAAUGUGAAUUGCAGAAUUCAGUGAAUCAUCGAAUCUUUGAACGCACAUUGCGCCCGCCAGUAUUCUGGCGGGCAUGCCUGUUCGAGCGUCAUUACAACCCUCAGGCCCCCGGGCCUGGCGUUGGGGAUCGGCGGAGCCCCCCGUGGGCACACGCCGUCCCCCAAAUACAGUGGCGGUCCCGCCGCAGCUUCCAUCGCGUAGUAGCUAACACCUCGCGACUGGAGAGCGGCGCGGCCACGCCGUAAAACACCCAACUCUUCUGAAUGUUGACCUCGAAUCAGGUAGGAAUACCCGCUGAACUUAAGCAUAUCAAUAAGCGGAGGA
rnacentral:misc_RNA from 1 species